rnacentral:lncRNA from 1 species
AUGUAAUUCUAAUUAUAACCUUUAUUAAAUCUUAACCAAAUCCUAGCUGAAAUCCUAAUGAAACUCCAAUAAAAUCCUAAAUCUUAAAGAAAUCCUAUAUAAGUUCUAAACCAAAUCCUAAGCAAACUCUCAUCCUAACCAAAUCCUAGACCAAAUCCUAAACCAAAUCCUAAUCAAAUCUUAGAUCUUAAAUAAAUUCUUAACAAAUCCUAUAGCAAAAUGGAACAUCAAAAACUAAUGAUCAAACUAUUGAUAUCAAUUCAAAACUUGAACACUUCUUAAUGUCUUAAUUAGAAACAAGCACAAGAAAAAUGAUAUCAAUCGUACUUAUUAAUUUAAAG